CUAGAAUCCGUACAGAUAACCCUAACUCGUUAACUCGCCUUCGGUUUUUCUAUUUCUUCUUUCACUUCGCUGCUAGGUGUCUAUAAACAUUGGAAAUAGAAAAGAAUUUGGCUAAAAGAAUUUGACACGUAAAGACACGAGUUUUAACCGUUGGCUGUAUCUUCUUCUUGGAAGAUCAAUUAAAUUCCAACUAUUUUCUUUUCCUUAAAUUAGACAUACUUGAAACGUUACCAGAUAGUCAAGAGACAUUUCAAGAUCCUGUACAACUCAUAGAAAUAAUAAAUGAUAAAGUGAAUACUGUAAUCGAAUCUUUGGGCGGUCCAGACAAGUAUCUUGAAGUUUUAAACGAAAUACUGAGCGAUAAGAUGGAAACAGCAUCAAUUGCAACAACGUCAGUGGAGGGAAAGGCAAUGCGUUCAAACGAAGUACAACUUUUCUCAAGAUUUCCGUCGUCAGCGACACCAGCCGCGGCUCUAUCCGAAGAUGAAGAGGACGUACCAUCUAGAGGUGGUUUGAAAAAACAAGCACAACAGUUAGUUGACAUUAAAAGUCGCAGAAAAGGAUUUGCAUUUAGAAGAUGAAUUUUUUGGCAAUUUCAACCAAUACCGGAAAUACGAAAAUAUAAGUAAAUAUUAACAACUACUCCAUAAUCUGUAUAAAAUUUUCUUUCCACUUGAUUAUCAGAUACGAAAUUCCUAUAUGCUGUCUUAUAAUUUAUUGCAUUUUCU